UGAACGCUAGCGGCAGGCUUAACACAUGCAAGUCGAGGGGCAGCGUAGAUUGCUUGCAAUCUGACGGCGACCGGCGAACGGGUGCGUAACGCGUAUAGAACCUACCUUUUACAGAGGGAUACCCCAUGGAAACGUGGACUAAUACCUCAUAGUAUUGUUGAAUGGCAUCGUUUAACAAUUAAAGAUUUAUCGGUAAGAGAUGGCUAUGCGUCCUAUUAGCUAGAUGGUAAGGUAACGGCUUACCAUGGCGAUGAUAGGUAGGGGUCCUGAGAGGGAGAUCCCCCACACUGGUACUGAGACACGGACCAGACUCCUACGGGAGGCAGC
rnacentral:rRNA from 1 species